rnacentral:lncRNA from 1 species
GUUGAUUAGUCUAAUUAGGGAUAAUAAUUAGGGUUAAAGGAUAAAGUAUAACAUCAAUCUUUAUAACUAAUUGAUUUAAUAAUUUUCUCGUUUAAUAUAAAAUAACAUAUAUUUAAUUAGGGAUUAAUAUAAUGAAAAAUUAUGAUUAAUUGAUUGGGGUUUUUAGGGAUAAUUAUGUGAUAGAAAUUUUAUGGUAAAAAAAAAUAGGGAUAAGGGAUAUAAUCCUUGGGUUUAUAAAAUUACUCUUUUAAAUUUAUUUUC